rnacentral:rRNA from 1 species
GGAUCAAUAUGUUGGUCGUGCCUUGGUACGUACUAGUUUAUUGGUUUCUUCCUUCUGACGAACCAUGAUGUCAUUAAUUUGGUGUCUUGGGGAAUCAGGGCUGUUACUUUGAAAAAAUUAGAGUGUUUAAAGCAGGCUCACGCUUGAAUACAUUAGCAUGGAAUAAUGAAAUAGGACGUUUGAUUCUAUUUUGUUGGUUUCUAGGACCGCUGUA